rnacentral:tRNA from 2 species
GAAAAUUUAGUUAAUAAAAUAACAUUAAUCUGUCAAGUUAAAAUAAUUAAUAAUUAAUUAAUAAUUUUUA